UACGGGGGGAGCAAGCGUUGUUCGGAUUUACUGGGCGUAAAGGGCGGGUAGGCGGCCACCGCAAGUCGACUGUGAAAUCUCCGGGCUUAACCCGGAAAGGUCAGCCGAUACUGCGGGGCUAGAGUGCAGGAAGGGGCAACUGGAAUUCUCGGUGUAGCGGUGAAAUGCGUUGAUAUCAUCAGGAAUACCGGAGGCGAAGGCGGCUCACUGGGGGUUUUCUGACGCUGAGGAACGAAAGCCAGGGGAGCGAACGGG
rnacentral:rRNA from 1 species